CUACGGGGUGCACCAGUGGGGAAUAUUGCACAAUGGGCGCAAGCCUGAUGCAGCCAUGCCGCGUGUAUGAAGAAGGCCUUCGGGUUGUAAAGUACUUUCAGCGGGGAGGAAGGGAGUAAAGUUAAUACCUUUGCUCAUUGACGUUACCCGCAGAAGAAGCACCGGCGAACUCCGUGCCAGCAGCCGCGGUAAUACGGAGGAUGCAAGCGUUAAUCGGAAUUACUGGGCGUAAAGCGCACGCAGGCGGUUUGUUAAGUCAGAUGUGAAAUCCCCGGGCUCAACCUGGGAACUGCAUCUGAUACUGGCAAGCUUGAGUCUCGUAGAGGGGGGUAGAAUUCCAGGUGUAGCGGUGAAAUGCGUAGAGAUCUGGAGGAAUACCGGUGGCGAAGGCGGCCCCCUGGACGAAGACUGACGCUCAGGUGCGAAAGCGUGGGGAGCAAACAGGAUUAGAUACCCUAGUAGUC
rnacentral:rRNA from 1 species